CUUCUCGCUGUCAACCGUCGCGUGUUUCGCAGGUUGGUCGCUCCUAUAAGUCCGUGUUUCGGCGCUUAUUGGGUAUUGCAAGUCUAAGAGAGCAGAAUUCUAGUAGCUGGAAGCUUUUUGCUGGCGCUUCUUUUCUCUUGUUGAGACCGGGUGGGGAGGAGCGGACAGCUGCAGUUUUCAGAGAUCUUCUCAAGGAAUUUCAGCUACCUUGGAUGCGAUGAUAAAGAGGGUUGUCUCAGCAUUGAGCUGAGCCAGGGUUUUAGCAAUGUGAGUCCCGUCAAUAUUGGACACAAACCACACGUGAGGACCC